rnacentral:rRNA from 1 species
UUAACAAAAACAUGUCUUUUUGAGUUAUUUUUAAAGUCUGACCUGCCCACUGAAUUUUUAAAUGGCCGCAGUAUUUUAACUGUGCAAAGGUAGCAUAAUCAUUAGUCUUUUAAUUGGAGGCUGGUAUGAACGGUUGGACGAGGUAUAUACUGUUUCAUAUAAAUUUAUGUUAGAAUUUUAUUUUUUAGUCAAAAAGCUAAAAUAAUAUUAAAAGACGAGAAGACCCUAUAAAUCUUUAUAUUUAAUAUAAUUUAAGUUUUUUGGGAUUAUUUUAUUUUUAUUAUGUUAAUUAUUUUGUUGGGGUGAUGUUAAAAUUUAAAGAACUUUUAAUUGUUUUAGACCAUUUAUUUAUGAAUUGUUGAUCCAUUAUUAUUGAUUAUAAGAUUAAGUUACUUUAGGGAUAACAGCGUAAUUUUUUUGGAGAGUUCAUAUCGAUAAAAAAGGUUGCGACCUCGAUGUUGGAUUAAGAUAUAAUUUUAGGUGUAGCUGCUUAAAUAUUAAGUCUGUUCGACUUUUAAAUUCUUACGUGAUCUGAGUUC